rnacentral:rRNA from 1 species
UGGGGGAUAUUGGACAAUGGGGGGAACCCUGAUCCAGCGAUGCCGCGUGAGGGAAGAAGGUUUUCGGAUUGUAAACCUCUGUCUUUGGGGACGAUAAUGACGGUACCCAAGGAGGAAGCUCCGGCUAACUACGUGCCAGCAGCCGCGGUAAUACGUAGGGAGCAAGCGUUGUCCGGAAUUACUGGGUGUAAAGGGAGUGUAGGCGGGAUGGCAAGUCGGAUGUGAAAUUUAUGGGCUCAACCUAUAAACUGCAUUUGAAACUGCUGUUCUUGAGUGAAGUAGAGGCAGGCGGAAUUCCUAGUGUAGCGGUGAAAUGCGUAGAUAUUAGGAGGAACAUCAGUGGCGAAGGCGGCCUGCUGGGCUUUUACUGACGCUGAGGCUCGAAAGCGUGGGUAGCAAACAGG